CCCACGUCCACAGUUGCCAGCAUACCCUCCCGGGGUGAUGGGUACACUGUGGAGACCGCCGCUGCUAAAGCGAGGAAGGAAUGGGCAACGGUAGGUCAGUAUGCCCCCGAAUCUCCCGGGCUACACGCGGCUACAAUGGUUGGUACAAUGGGCAUCUAACCCCGAAAGGGGAAGGAAAUCUCUUAAAGCCAAUCGUAGUUCGGAUUGAGGGCUGCAACUCGCCCUCAUGAAGCUGGAAUCCGUAGUAAUCGCGUUUCAACAGAACGCGGUGAAUACGUCCCUGCUCCUU
rnacentral:rRNA from 1 species